UGGAGCAGGACUCAUUCGCUUAGCCGAACAGUAUCGAUGCUAAGUGAAUUCCUCGUGCUUCAAU
rnacentral:pre_miRNA from 1 species